CAGUAGUACCCGUAGGCUCUGUAGGUUUUUCUAUAUACAACUGUAGACAGUCAUUUCAGAUUCGUGUUCUCUUUUCUCUUAUUCAGAUCUCUCCGGGGUUCAAUUUCCCAAUCUCCAUUUUCAUUUUGAUCCCAAAAAUAUCAGACCUCAAGAAGAGGAAGAAGAAGAAAGAAGGAGAGGAAUCUUACUCCGUCUGAUCUAAGUCAUCUCCAUCUCCCUCUCCGUCGUGACUUUACUGACAGUUUUCUCCUUCCUAUUGUGACAAAGAGGAUUUUGGCUGAUCUGAAUCUGAUUCGGUUCUGGGGUCUUCGAUUCGGUGGCUCUGUAGUUGAUUGCUCUGUUCUUGUGCGGAUCCUGUUGUCCAUGUUCGAUUCGGAUCUGUUGUGGAGAAGAUCUAGAAGUUCAGUUGUGUUUUCUUGCAAUUCGAACCCUAAAGUUGCAAUCUCUUAGCAUACAGUUUGAGCCCUGGAAUUGAGUUAUAACUGUAGAUCUAGUUGGUUGCUCUCAGAAUCGUUCUAACUCGUCCGAGUUAUACUCGUUGACUCAGUGAAUUUUUCAUAAUGGAAACUCUUCUUGUUGUGGCGGAGCCUAAGAACCAGUACUACAACCGGGUCAAGCCACAUGGGCCUGUCCGAUACGGCCCGUCACCUUCGAAGGACUUCAGAGCGAUCAAUUGCCGGACUUUCCAAUCCGGCACAGGUAUACUCCCUACCCCAUCGAAGAAUUGCUCUACUCCUGUGUCCAAACGAGCAUGCUCUUCUUCUUCUAAGAUAACUACACCUGGUCCAAACAAGACACCUACCCCUAGUGUAGGUUCACAGUCUGAUAGUAAAACACUUGGUAAAAGCACACCAAUUGCUAUCAAUGUCAAAAGCUCGAAGAAAGAAAAGCCUUUUAAUGGAAGUUUUUCAUUUUCUGAGCUCUGGGCUGGCCCUGCUUACUCCAACUCUCCCCCACCUAGUUCUCUGCCAAUACCCAAGUUUUCAAUCCGACCCAAGAGAACCGUGUCGCUUGAAUUGCCAAGCUCCGCUUCUGAUAUGGAAAUGCACCCAACUCACCCAAUUGCCAAGUCUGCACCUGCAUCCCCAACUAGGGAGCAUAGCUCUUCUGCAAGAGACCUCUUUCAUAACGCUGACUCUGCGACCAGGACUCUACGUCGCAUUCUGAAUCUUGAUGUUGACGAUGAAUGAAGAGCAGGGGAGCAGUAGGCUCCUGUAAAUAAGUUUAGAUUGUAUAUAGAGUGAAUAAAUUGGUUGGUAGUCCUGGGUUGUGAUGAGUGUGUUUAGUUUUCUGUGGUGGUGCUACAAUCGACAGUCUUGGUUGUGGUGGGUCAACGAUCUCUGGAUGUUGGAUGUGAAGUUGGUCUGAGAGAUGAAUGCUUGUUUGGAAAAAUGGGCGUGGUAUGUGUACUGCGGGACUUAUGACAUGGAUGGAACUGACCCAAAAUUUUACGGAAGCAGAAGGGAAAAAGUUGUAGGCUUGUACUUUCGAAGUGGAUGGUUGCCUACAUUCUGGCAUGGGAUUGAGUAACUGGCUACUCUUUAUGGAAGCUGAGGGAAACUACAUUAUACUUGAAUAUUAAAGUUCUGACUUUAACUUUUCAAUGUAAUCUCCUGACAUAUUUACUAAUUUUCGUUAUCCCUGUAGAGUUAGGUUUAGGUCUCUAGUUCCGGUUACGGUUGUAUAUGCUUUAGAAAGUCAAGUGGUCUAUCCAUACAGAAUUCUUUAGGUUUCUGCAGGUUUCUUCUUCAUCUUUGCAUCUUCGUUUCCUUGCAUUUAGAUUUAGUGCCCCUAUAAAUAGUCUUGACACUGGUUAGUCUCUUUGUUCCUUAGUUAAAUGUUGUUCCUAUUGGCUGCCUUAAUCUUCUUUCAUUGAAUCUCUGCUUGGUCUGUUACUGUUAUGGCCCGAUUUGCCUUCAUACUCUAAACAUAACUUUCUUUACUUCUAAUGACAAUCUGACCCCUUUAACUACACUCUUAUCAAGGGUGUUCUCCCCCUUCACCAUCUUUUCUGGUUUUUAAGAAAGAAAAGAGGGAAGGGGCAGUGAUUGUUGUUCUUUCCUACUUCUGCUUUGUUGCUUCUUCAGUUCAUAGGGUUGGUCAAUCUGUGUUUCUCUGUUCUGUUUCAUGUCUUGAGUGGAAUUACCUAUUAAUUCCUUGUUCUUGCAAAUGAAUGGUGCCGAUUGCGGUCCUCACAUCGUUUUCAUCCUUGGAGAUUGUUGAUCUCGCCUGGCCUUCAACAAGGGUGCAAGUUGGAAAAUUAUUCAGGCGGUGGUUUCUUUAGCGGUUGAUAAUCCAAGUCCUUUUAUCUGUAAUAGUUCCUUGGACGAGGCAAAUGCAAUUCCAGUAUAUGGUCACCUGUGUCUAACAAUGCAUGAUGUCCGUGGGAAGCUGCUUACUCUGUCUUGUGUACCAAGAUCAAUGGAGUCAAUAUGUUGUGUCGAGCAAAUAUUUGGUCUCCAUGUUUGAUUGUCUAUUUAAAUUUCAGUGUUAAGUCUGUUUGGUAUCGUCUAUCUGGACUUGGAUGGUAGUGUGUUUAUCUAUCAUCAUCUUUAAUUCUAUGUAAGUUAUACAUUAUGUUAUCUAUUUAAUUAUCAUGGUACGAUGUUUUGUUUUAUUGA